rnacentral:rRNA from 1 species
GUAGAGUGAUCGAAAGAUGAAAAGCACUUUGAAAAGAGGGUUAAACAGCACGUGAAAUUGUUAAAAGGGAAGCGCUUGUGACCAGACUUGCGUCCGGUGAAUCACCCAGCUCUCGCGGCUGGGGCACUUCGCCGGCUCAGGCCAGCAUCAGCUCGCUGUCGGGGACAAAAGCUUCAGGAACGUAGCUCUCUUCGGGGAGUGUUAUAGCCUGUUGCAUAAUACCCUUCGGCGGGCUGAGGUACGCGCUCCGCAAGGAUGCUGGCAUAAUGGUCAUCAGCGACCCGUCUUGAAACACGGACCAAGGAGUCAACCUUAUGUGCGAGUG